UCUAAUUAAAAACGAAACGCAUAAACUACAAAAUGAUCACAGAUCAACGGAAACAAAACCGUGUUGUAUGCCGGGAUUUGUAUUUUUCCUUCACAACGAACGCGAUUAGUCUACAUGAAAAAAGGUAAUUUCCCUUCUUUAUUAUUCCGAAAACUGAGAGUAACAGACCGCGGUGUCAAUGUGAUCUCAACUCAUAAAAGAAACCCCGAGCAAAAACGACUACGUAUCGACGGACACUAAAUCCUGAUGCAUGUCGGUAUUUGUAGUUUUUUCAUCUCCACUGAAAGGCGCCUCCACUCACGUAUAAACUACAUCUCCCAGACGGCUGUUGGAGUAACACCUUGCUGUCGGGGUUCACGUCCUGGGAGAGAGCAGAAGAUUCGACGGCGAGAGGAAAUCGAAAGCUAACGCUGCUGUCAUCCAUCCGGGAGCUCAGUAGCACAAGCCGUAUUCAGCUGGGAGCACUCUGUAAAGGUAAGUGUAU